rnacentral:rRNA from 1 species
AUUGAACGCUGGCGGCAGGCUUAACACAUGCAAGUCGAGCGGAGAUGAGGUGCUUGCACCUUAUCUUAGCGGCGGGCGGGUGAGUAAUGCUUAGGAAUCUGCCUAUUAGUGGGGGACAACAUUCCGAAAGGAAUGCUAAUACCGCAUACGUCCUACGGGAGAAAGCAGGGGAUCUUCGGACCUUGCGCUAAUAGAUGAGCCUAAGUCGGAUUAGGUAGUUGGUGGGGUAAAGGCCUACCAAGGCGACGAUAGGUAGCGGGUCUGAGAGGAUGAUACGCCACACUGGGACUGAGACACGGCCCAGACUCCUACGGGAGGCAGCAGUGGGGAAUAUUGGACAAUGGGGAAACCCUGAUCCAGCCAUGCCGCGUGUGUGAAGAAGGCCUUAUGGUUGUAAAGCACUUUAAGCGAGGAGGAGGCUACUGAGACUAAUACUCUUGGAUAGUGGACGUUACUCGCAGAAUAAGCACCGGCUAACUCUGUGCCAGCCGCCGCAGUAA